GAACACCGGGAGCUCUGCCCGGCCGCGUCCCUGGGAACGCCGCAGAGCAGUGACUCGAGAUAUUUUACUGUGGAUUAGCAGCUCCUCCGUAACACAGCAGAAAGGAAGGACAGAGGCGGAAAGGAGCGAGCUCUUGGUUAUGGAUACAGGUACAGGAAUCGCUGGAGGCAGGGCAGUAAAAGAAUCACGAAGCUGGCAAGGGUUUAGAAACGUCUGGUAUUUUCUCAGCUCCUGGAUGUGUGGGAGGAAAAGGAAGUUAUUCAGGAUCUAUUAUGACUUUCCACUACGUUGCUGCAUGUCUGCAGCCCAUUGUCUCUUGAAUGAGCUGAUUCCUACCUCCCCAUUCUGUUAUCUCUCCAUCCAGGCAGCUGAAAUUGCCUGUGAAGAGACUGCUUGGGUUUGCUUAUCAGGCCUGGGUAAAAUUCCUUUUACAUGUACAGAAAGAUUUCAAAGAUUAAAGCGUGCCUUGUUUUGGGCCCAUGCUAUCUAAACCAUAUUAGGGGAAUUUCUGGGCUUUAAGCUCUGAUAUCCAUUCAGGGGCCAUAAGGUAGGAAUAUUUAGAGCCAGCCUUUCUCAGAACUUUUAGGAAAAAGCAAAUGAGAGCUGAGACCCUGCUUGGGAGGAGAACUACCCACAUGAUUUUUAAAACCCCAGUUUGAAUUUAGUGUAGUUUCUCAGGGAUCCUCCAGAAACAAUGUCUUGAUGGUUCCUCAUAUUUUUAAAUCUUUUUAGCCU